GGCUCGAUAGCGGAGGGUCCGCGCCUGUACCUCAUGAACUGUCGGAGGAAAAUUUGAUGCAGGAGAUGCCCGUUCGACUCGGGCUCGAGCUA